rnacentral:tRNA from 1 species
UCCCGAAAAGUCCAAACUAUCGGACUGUUAAUCCGCAGGUCCCUGGUUCGAGUCCAGGUCGGGGAGCCA